AUGUUUUUUAAACCACAGACGACUUUUGGCAGCGGCAAAGCCGGAGCGGGGCCGGAGUGCAGCGACGGUGCGGGUCGGCAUGCCGGGCGGCGGCUGCGGCGCUGGGAUCCCGCUCAACCCGGGCCCAGGGCGGCAGAGUUUAUUUUUGUAUCCCGGGUGAGCUGGGACUGGCGGCUCGGCCUCGCGCUUUGGUUUAAUUGCAUCUCCCCCCAUUUCCUCCCUCCUCCUCGCCCGGCCUCCGCGGGAGGCGAGUCCCCCGCUCUGCCCCGGCUCCCSGUGUUUCGCAGGGCCGAGUUUUCCCUCCUCCUCCCUUUCGGCAGGCGCCGGGUCGGGGCGGUGAGAGCCCAGCUGGCCCCGGGGGUGCUGGGCGAACCGGAGGCAGCGGCGAGGCCGGCUGCRGAGCGCCAACGCUGCCCGGCUCCCUGCGACGGGUCCCUGCCGCCUCGAGGAGCGAGCGGCUCCGGGGCAGUCCCAGCCCUGCCGCAGGGCCCCGGGUGCCGGCRCUGCUCCGUCGCCCUGGUGGGAGGUGGCAGGGGGAGGAGGACAGAGGGAGGCAGGACGGCGGCCGAGGGUGCUGGCGCGGCUCCUUCCCCCGUGCCAGGAGCUCAGUCCUGGCCACGGCAGCGGCCCGGCGUUGCCCGACGGCAGCUCUGCCCYGCUCCUUUCCCGGGGCGGCGUCUCCCUUCUAGGAACCUCUCCGAGGUUGUUUCGGAGCCGGUUUCCUUGUCCUCGAGGAUGAACUUGAGCCUCCRCUCCCCGGGGCAGCGCUGGCCUGCRGCUCCUGGCCGUGCCCUACCCGGUUUUCCCACCGUAGCUCAGGACGGAAAAGGGGCAGGAGCCCAGGAGCUGGCGGGCGAAGGACCCGCUCCGAGGGCAGCGGUGCAGCGGGCCCGGCCGGGUCAGCGCGGGCGACGAGGCCUGUGGGGCUGGGGGAGCCGCGGGCCUCCCCACCUCCCUCUUCCUCCCCUGCCGGGGGUGGGCGCAGGCUCUGGCCCUUCCCUCUCUCCCUCUGCCCCUGCCCGGGCGCUGCUGUGGCUGGCUUCAUGGUUUAACCCCCCGGCGUGGGACUUUGCGGCGUAG
rnacentral:lncRNA from 1 species